GACGAACGCUGGCGGCGUGCUUAACACAUGCAAGUCGAACGGAAAGGCCCUGCUUUUGGGGGGUGCUCGAGUGGCGAACGGGUGAGUAACACGUGAGUAACCUGCCCUUGACUUUGGGAUAACUUCAGGAAACUGGGGCUAAUACCGGAUAGGAGCUCCUGCUGCAUGGUGGGGGUUGGUAAGUUUCGGCGGUUGGGGAUGGACUCGCGGCUUAUAAGCUUGUUGGUGGGGUAGUGGCUUACCAAGGCUUUGACGGGUAGCCGGCCUGAGAGGGUGACCGGCCACAUUGGGACUGAGAUGCGGCCCAGCCUCCUACGGGAGGCAGCAGUGGGGAAUAUUGCACAAUGGGCGGAAGCAUGAUGCAGCAACGCCGCGUGCGGGAUGACGGCCUUCGGGUUGUAAACCGCUUUCGCCUGUGACGAAGCGUGAGUGACGGUAAUGGGUAAAGAAGCACCGGCUAACUACGUG
rnacentral:rRNA from 1 species